rnacentral:rRNA from 1 species
UCGGGAAUUUUGGGCAAUGGGCGAAAGCCUGACCCAGCAACGCCGCGUGAAGGAUGAAAUCCUUCGGGAUGUAAACUUCGCAAGAACGGGAAGAAUAAGUAAGAGUUAAUAUCUCUUACGAUGACGGUACUGUUUGUAAGCUCCGGCUAACUCCGUGCCAGCAGCCGCGGUAAUACGGGGGGAGCAAGCGUUGUUCGGAUUUACUGGGCGUAAAGGGCGCGUAGGCGGCCACCGCAAGUCGACUGUGAAAUCUCCGGGCUUAACCCGGAAAGGUCAGCCGAUACUGCGGGGCUAGAGUGCAGAAGGGGCAACUGGAAUUCUCGGUGUAGCGGUGAAAUGCGUAGAUAUCGGGAGGAAUACCGAUGGCGAAGGCAGGUCUCUGGGCUGACACUGACGCUCAUGCACGAAAGCGUGGGGAGCAAAC